rnacentral:rRNA from 1 species
AGUGAAGCGGCAACAGCUCAAAUUUGAAAUCUGGCCCCCCAGGGCCCGAGUUGUAAUUUGCAGAGGAUGCUUUGGGCGCGGCGCCUUCCGAGUUCCCUGGAACGGGACGCCACAGAGGGUGAGAGCCCCGUCUGGUCGGACGCCAAGCCUGUGUAAAGCUCCUUCGACGAGUCGAGUAGUUUGGGAAUGCUGCUCUAAAUGGGAGGUAUAUGUCUUCUAAAGCUAAAUAUAGGCCAGAGACCGAUAGCGCACAAGUAGAGUGAUCGAAAGAUGAAAAGCACUUUGAAAAGAGGGUUAAACAGUACGUGAAAUUGUUGAAAGGGAAGCGCUUGUGACCAGACUUGGGCCCGGCGGAUCAUCCAGCGUUCUCGCUGGUGCACUCCGGCGGGCUCAGGCCAGCAUCAGUUCGGCGCGGGGGACAAAGGCUUCGGGAACGUGGCUCCUCCGGGAGUGUUAUAGCCCGCUGCGUAAUACCCUGCGCUGGACUGAGGUUCGCGCUCCGCAAGGAUGCUGGCGUAAUGGUCAUCAGCGACCCGUCUUGAAACACGGACCAAGGAGUCGUCUUCGUAUGCGAGUGUUCGGGUGUCAAACCCCUACGCGUAAUGAAAGUGAACGCAGGUGAGAGCUUCGGCGCAUCAUCGACCGAUCCUGAUGUUCUCGGAAGGAUUUGAGUAAGAGCAUACGGGGCCGGACCCGAAAGAAGGUGAACUAUGCCUGUAUAGGGUGAAGCCAGAGGAAACUCUGGUGGAGGCUCGCAGCGGUUCUGACGUGCAAAUCGAUCGUC